GAAAAUGGAAAAAAUAUUAAAAAUAUUUAAUAAUGUUUAAUUGUCUUAAAUUUCCGUUCUAAGCCCGAACAUCUUAUUAACUUAUUCAUAACUUAUUUAACUGUUUUUCAAUUCCGCACGCAAAGCCAAUUGGUGUAAACCGCAAAACCUGUUAAAAGGCAAGACAACAUCUCCAUUUACACCAUUUUAAUUUGUGGCAAUCCGAAUGACAUUUUACCGCACUUAAUUUGUUAACCAGGCAGAAGAACGAGAUCCACUUGAAAAGAAAAGCUGACGGACAAAAAGGAAAGCCAUCGGGGGAAAAUAAUGUGGAAAUCAAGCGCACUUCAGCCGGGCGGCAGUUGUCGAGGAGCCUAAGCCGAAACCGUAAAAUGAGACGAGCUGCUAUGCGGGUUCCAGUUCAGCAUGGGUUCGGUUUUUGGGAUGGCUUCGUUUUGGUCCUUGGGCUGAGGGCUGUGCCACUGUUCCGUGUCCUUUUUCAAGGCAAUCAACACAAAUGCUACUUAAAAAUUUAUUUGUGACACGCACGAGACGCAGACACAAAGGGAGCGGGUGAUGGCCGGAAAGAGAAUCCAACUGAAAGCGUUGCAAAGCACAAACACUUAACACGCAGACUGUGGCAGCCAGACACACACACACACACAGGCAAACGAACCCGCAGAUACGCACACACACACAGACGGACGCAUGAGGCGCCGACAAAAAAGGACAAUCAACAUUUUAACACUUUUAAGGCAAAAGGAUACAACGUGGAGGAGGGGCGCUCCAGUUGAGAAAUGUGUUGCGGUCAUGCAUUUUUAUUCCCUCCGCACUGCAAAAUAUUAAACAUUAGAACUAGUAAAAAUGGAAAAGAAGGAAACUUGUAUGUUUCGCUGCCAAGCCUUCUUCUAUACGAAAAAUUGACAUUAUUUUUCCAUGUGCACACAAAAAAGGGAAAGAGAGGUCAGAGCAACGGGUUGGAAGGACAUGCAAGCCCGGAAGGACAGGAAGCAUCCAUGGCCAGCAUCAGACACGGACACUUGACAUUUAAGCCUGCCAUUGAGACGGGUCCUGUAUUGUUUUCCUAACCAUUCUGCACUAACCAUAGGCUUGUGAUAAAUGUGGCACAUUUUUGUGCCUUCAGUUAAUUCCUCAGAUUUUUACUGCAUUUAUGAACAGGACAUGCUCAACAAGCUCACGUUUCUACGUCAAAUAUUGACCAGAUGGGAGAAGUAGUUAAACUGCAGCUCGUACUGACACAAAUCUUUUAAGCAACUUCUCGGUAAACUUUUCUAAUCAAACACUCGGCCACGGAAGCGUUGAAGAGUGUUUUUCGGAUAUGUGGGAAGAUGGGUGUGUUUAAGUCCAUGUCUAGCCAAAAACUCGACUUGUUUGUUUGCCUGUUGCCCCGAUGGAGCUGCACUUGUAUCCUGCAGCUCGGCUCUUUUCCACCCAGCUAAAUGAAGCAGCUCAAUUUCGCCCACAGAGUGAAGAGAAAGUUCCUCGAGUGCAGCAUGUGGAGCUUGAAGUUUUUCCAUCUGCAAUCCUAUGGGUACACAGAGACCUCCAUCCAUGGCGAUGUGGUUGCAAAAAGUGUUGCUUGGUCAGUGCAUGAGGCAAUGUGGGCGAGGGAUUCUGCCAAGGAGGUGUAAUGAAGCCGCACAAAUGCACACAACAUUGUUCGGGGGUUCAGGUUUUUUGCAGUAAUCAAAAAGAGGAAAAAUGAAAAAUAAUUUGUUGCAGUUUGUUUGCUUGACCCGACACUGACAUGGGAAAGUUAAAGUCGUAUUGUUUAAAAGUUGGGUAAUUUCGAUUGGUUAAGAGAGUGCAGAGUUAAGUUCGUUAAUAAUGACACGAGCCACUUUAUUAUGAAACAGAUCCAAGCCACAUUGAUAUUCAUAUAUCUUCUUGGCCAUUUAAGGACAAAUGAUAUUUAUGUAUUGUAUCAUAACCCAAAACUGGCAAACUUUUUUGGGUAUAAGCGAAAGGAAGGGCUGAAAUGAAAUAUCAGUCAUAAACAAUGAAAAUGGUAAGCAAAUAAAUUCUUUAUGUUAAGGCCAAAUCAUCACAAUCAAUAAGUCAAUAGCUUUUUCAUUCGAAUGUGUGCUAUAUAUCUCAGAUGCCUGUUGUCAAAAAUCGAAUUGGCAAUAUUUCAUUUAUAUUUCAUAGCCUAUUUUUUAGGGAUUUAAAUUUGCUAUUGCCAUGCUGGAGGCAAUUCCAUGGCUUCACACGCAAAUUCGAUUGGUUCUCAAAGGGGUAAAACACGCAUACACGUGUAUUUUACUUUCAUACUUUUUUCCUGUGGUAUGUGCGGCAAGGAGGCAGGAUGCACGCGCUCGCCUCAAAGUUGCUGCAAGUUGCAGUCAAAGCCGCAGCCGCAACCAAGAGCGCUACUUCAUCAAACGAGCAACUUGCCGCAAGGUAACACACACAGUUCCACACACUCAAAUGCAAGACAAUUGCAGGAACAAUAAAAAAUUCAGCACUUAAACAUAAGCUCCAUUUAAAGAAUAUGUUGUCAUUACAAUUUCAAAGUUACAGACGUUAAGCGCUCUAAAAAUUCUAACAUAUUUUUGUGUUUACCAUAAAUUCAUUUGCUAACUGCCAUCUCAAGUGCUAUAACCUUGCCCGCUACUGUGCGUGUACAUAUACCAUGUAGUUAAGAACUCUUUGCUUUGGCUGCAGCCAGCAACUGGGAGCUCGCCACUUGUAGACACGUGCACAGUUAUAAAAGCAUAUAAAAUUUCCUAUUUAACUUCCGGCAUGUUUCAGCACACACACACACAAGCAAAGCAUGCACACACAGCAAUAGGGAUAUAUAAAGUCGGGUCUGACAUGUUUUUCCCCCAACGACUUGCAACUGAGUUUUGGCUUUGACAAGAUGGCAGAGGCACUAAGCGAACGACAAGAAAUUGAAUUCGGCUGCAGGUGGCAGGUAACACCUAUUCCCCCACCCAGCACCACCCACUUUCCGCCCAGCUCGGCAGGAUGUGUGACAGGCUUUUGAGCUGAGUUUUUGCGGCACCUUGACAGCCGCAGGAUUUAGCGGUCCCCAGUCGGGACUUUAAUAUUUAAUAAGCUGACUUCGGUCUAGGCAAGUUCAGAGCAGAGCUAAGCCAAAAUACCCCAUUGGCUCUAAAAAGGAAAAAGAAACGGAAGGCAGCAGCAGCAGCAGAAGCAGCAAAAGCCGUCUUCAAUUAUGCAAAAGAGGCGUGGCGUAAAGGCAAGUUGGCCCAGACGGUGACAUGGCCAAUGAAUUGGGGAAAAAAAACAAGACCAAGGCCGGAUGAAAAUUAUGCAGUGGUGUGGCAGAUUGCAAAAGGUUUUAUUCUGCGGCGAAAGGUAGCAAGAAAGUUGGUGAUCUGCUUACUUAGUAUAAUCCAAGGCGCGGAAACUUAAUCCAGAACUAAAUGAAAAUGCUCACUAAUAAGCUUUAAACGAAUUAAAUCAACUACUUUUAACUCAAUACUCUUAUUCAUUGUUUUUUUAAUGAAUAAAUUCCAUAUAUUUCUAAGCUUUAACUGGUAUGCUUUAAUUUCGAUAUACUUUUCCAUUUUUCCUCUUUCUUAAUGUUAACAUAUGGAACAGCCUUCGUUAAACUUGCACUCCAUAAAUUCAUUAGCUUUCUACCCGCAUUUCCAGCCGCCUUUAAUCAUCAACAGUGCCGUCUUGCUAUUUAGCACAUCACCCCUAAUUAUUCACUUCGUCACAUAUUAUCACGUAAUGCCUGCCAAGUUUCCAUGUUUGUUGGCCGGCUGAGUUCAUGGCGGCGCAUAUUUUAGCACACACGACUCGCCUUCAAGGACUCGACUUUUGGGUUCUAUAUUCCAUGCCAUCUUGGUCUUUUGGUUUUUGGUCUUUAGUCUUUUGGCCUUUUUGUCUGGGAUUUUGUUAGGCACGUUCGAUGCUGUCGCCCACGGUUCAUAUGCACGUUUUUGGUGUUCUUGGGCGGCCAAGUUUAUUGUUUGUUGUCGGCACAUUAAUCAUAAUUUAACGAUUAGCGCAAGUUUUGUUUAUUAAAUAUUCUUCGAGCCGAGUCGAGUGGCGAGUGUGGUUAAAAUUUAUGGAGCAACAGCGACAACGUCGCCGAUGCCACGCGUCGAUAUGCCACAAAACUGUCAUAAAUUGCAAUUAUUUUCACAAAAGCAGAGAAACAAUUUAUGCAUCGCUUUUGCUUUAAGCCAAUUUAUGGUUCACUCUUUAAUUAUGUCGCAGACGAAGGGCGUGGCAGUGAAAUUAGCAUAUUUUGGAUAACAUUAUUGCACAGUCGAAUAUGAAAUG
rnacentral:sRNA from 1 species